rnacentral:rRNA from 1 species
GAUGAACGCUGGCGGCGUGCCUAAUACAUGCAAGUCGAGCGAACAGACGAGGAGCUUGCUCCUCUGACGUUAGCGGCGGACGGGUGAGUAACACGUGGAUAACCUACCUAUAAGACUGGGAUAACUUCGGGAAACCGGAGCUAAUACCGGAUAAUAUAUUGAACCGCAUGGUUCAAUAGUGAAAGACGGUUUUGCUGUCACUUAUAGAUGGUUCCGCGCCGCAUUAGGUAGUUGGUAAGGUAACGGCUUACCAAGGCAACGAUGCGUAGCCGACCUGAGGGGGUGGUCGGCGACACUGGAACUGGAACACGGACCAGACGCCUGCGGGAGGCAGCAGUAGGGAAUGUGCCGCAAUGGGCGAGAGCCUGACGGAGCGACGCCGCGUGAGUGAUGAAGGUCUUCGGAUCGUAAAACUCUGUUAUUAGGGAAGAACAAAUGUGUAAGUAACUAUGCACGUAUUGACGGUACCUAAUCAGAAAGCCACGGCUAACUACGUG